CACGUAGGGUGCGAGCGUUAAUCGGAAUUACUGGGCGUAAAGCGUGCGCAGGCGGUUUUGUAAGCCAGAUGUGAAAUCCCCGGGCUUAACCUGGGAAUGGCAUUUGGGACUGCAAAGCUUGAGUGUGGCAGAGGGGACUGGAAUUCCUGGUGUAGCAGUGAAAUGCGUAGAGAUCAGGAGGAAUACCGAUGGCGAAGGCAGGUCCCUGGGCUGACACUGACGCUCAUGCACGAAAGCGUGGGGAGCAAACAGG
rnacentral:rRNA from 1 species